GUUGUCAACUCUCCUUUGACACACACGGUGGCUCCUGGGCUGGUGUGCUCCCACCGUGUGCUGCUCCAUCGGGUAAGGAACAAGAAAGUAGCUGCCAGUUGAGAGCCAGUUUGGUAACCUCUGAGCCAGGAGAGAAUUUAUACCUGAUGAAGGAUGGUCUCACAAGGAGGAUCCCUGCAAAGGGAUAAGGGUUUGUUCCCAAUCUGCAGCCUGGACUCUGCAGCAGGUGAAAAGCUUUCCCUGCAGCCACCGAUGAGAACUGGACACCACAGUGAUCUCUGCCCCUGGCAGGC